rnacentral:tRNA from 1 species
GUUUCUGUAGUGUAGUGGUUAUCGCGUGCGCCUCACACGCGGAAAGUGGCAGGUUCGAGCCCUGCCAGAGACA